rnacentral:rRNA from 1 species
UUGACCUCAAAUCAGGUAGGACUACCCGCUGAACUUAAGCAUAUCAAUAAGCGGAGGAAAAGAAACUAACAAGGAUUCCCCUAGUAACUGCGAGUGAAGCGGGAAAAGCUCAAAUUUGAAAUCUGGUGGUCCUUGACCGUCCGAGUUGUAAUCUAGAGAAGUGCUACCUGUGCUGGACCGUGUAAAAGUCUCCUGGAAUGGAGCAUCACAGAGGGUGAGAAUCCCGUCUUUGACACGGACUGCCUGUACGUUAUGGUGCGCUCUCGAAGAGUCGAGUUGUUUGGGAAUGCAGCUCAAAAUGGGUGG